GAGCACAGAAAGCAAGGUGCCCAAGGAGAGUGGCUCCUGUAACAAUUGCGUUAAUCAUUCUCUGAACGUUUGAAAACUCUCUUUGAAAUCUUAUUGUGGUUAAAACUUGAGAAAAGAAAUAUAAAUUGUAAUUUGAGCAGAUCUUUUCUGUAGUGCAUUGCAAUUGUUCUGUUUUGUUUAAACUAUUUUUGUAUUGCACUUUCUUAAGAUCCAAUGUAAUUUUUCUUGGAAGUGUAUUAACACUGACGUUGAAUUUUCCUUAUGUGUUUCGGGUUUUCAAAUGUCUGAGAUAUGUGAUGUUCUCCCAUAUGUUGUCUUCCUAUUUCCAAACUUGGGAUUAUGCAUUGUUCUUAGUGGUUUCAGGGAGCAGACUUUCACACACAUGUGACAUCUGCGAUGCUCUACAUUCUUUUUUUUUUUUUUUUGGAAACUACUUUAGCUCCGAAUCACUGUCACUGGUCUCAUUUAGAACAUGAGCAGUAUAAACACUCUAGUCUCUGCAUAAAAUCUGGCCUCCCUCUACGAACAAUGCAUAACACGCUCCUUACCUUAUUUAUUGCAGGAUGCAAAUACGCUCUAAACCCUUAUUGCACUACGGUGAAAGACUACAGCCUGGUUUUUCUAGCAUUUAUUUAUUGUUGUAAUUAUGUAUUCAUUUAUUCCUUCACCUUCUUCCGAAAGAUUAGUUUUGUUGUAGAUUUGUUUAAAGUACAUGGGAUUUUAAAAUAUGGCUAUUUUAACCAUAUGAAGCCUUUUUAAUUUGAUGCCUUAACGUGGUGUUUCACAAAAAAAAACUUUGAAGGAGGAGCGUCCUGUAGUGAAAGAGU